UACGAAGGGGGGCUAGCGUUGCUCGGAAUUACUGGGCGUAAAGGGUGUGUAGGCGGAUACUUAAGUCGGGGGGUGAAAGCCCAGGGCUCAACCCUGGAAUAGCCUUCGAUACUGGGUAUCUUGAGUUCGGGAGAGGUAAGUGGAACUCCGAGUGUAGAGGUGAAAUUCGUAGAUAUUCGGAAGAACACCAGUGGCGAAGGCGACUUACUGGCCCGAUACUGACGCUGAAACACGAAAGCGUGGGGAGCAAACAGG
rnacentral:rRNA from 1 species